rnacentral:rRNA from 1 species
GUGGGGAAUCUUGCGCAAUGGGCGAAAGCCUGACGCAGCCAUGCCGCGUGGAUGAUGAAGGUCUUAGGAUUGUAAAAUCCUUUCACCGGUGAAGAUAAUGACUGUAGCCGGAGAAGAAGCCCCGGCUAACUUCGUGCCAGCAGCCGCGGUAAUACGAAGGGGGCUAGCGUUGCUCGGAAUUACUGGGCGUAAAGGGCGCGUAGGCGGACAGUUUAGUCAGAGGUGAAAGCCCAGGGCUCAACCUUGGAAUUGCCUUUGAUACUGGCUGUCUUGAGUACGGGAGAGGUGAGUGGAACUCCGAGUGUAGAGGUGAAAUUCGUAGAUAUUCGGAAGAACACCAGUGGCGAAGGCGACUCACUGGCCCGUUACUGACGCUGAGGCGCGAAAGCGUGGGGAGCAAACAGGAUUAGAAACCCGAGUAGUCC